AUUGAACGCUGGCGGCAGGCCUAACACAUGCAAGUCGAGCGCGCGGCGGACGGGUGAGUAAUGUAUGGGGACUGCCCGAUAGAGGGGGAUAACUACUGGAAACGGUAGCUACUACCGCAUACUAUCGGCUAACCCCUAUGGGUUUGGCUCGUUGGUGAGGUAAUUGCUCACCAAGGCGACGAUCCCUCGCUGGUCUGAGAGGAUCAUCAGCCACACUGGGACUGAGACACGGCCCAGACUCCUACGGAGGCAGCAGGGGGGAAUAUUGGACAAUGGGCGCAAGCCUGAUGCAGCCAUGCCGCGUGUAUGAAGAAGGCCCUAGGGUUGUAAAGUACUUUCAGUCGGGAGGCGUUACCGACAGAAGAAGCACCGGCUAACUCCGUGCCAGCAGCCGCGGUAAUUC
rnacentral:rRNA from 1 species